GGCUCGGUAACUUAGUUGGUAAAGCACUUGUUUAGCGAAUAAGGGUCGUGAGUUCAUCUCAAACCUGAGCUG
rnacentral:tRNA from 1 species